rnacentral:pre_miRNA from 2 species
UAUGGCUUUUUAUUCCUAUGUGAUUGCUUUCCUAAUUCACAUAGGGCAGAAAGCCAUGUG